rnacentral:tRNA from 3 species
CAUUAGAUGACUGAAAGCAAGUAUUGGUCUCUUAAACCAUCUUAUGAUAAAUUAGCAAAUAUCUCUAAUGA